GGCGGCAGGCCUAACACAUGCAAGUCGAGCGGAUGAAGGGAGCUUGCUCCUGGAUUCAGCGGCGGACGGGUGAGUAAUGCCUAGGAAUCUGCCUGGUAGUGGGGGAUAACGUUCCGAAAGGAACGCUAAUACCGCGUACGUCCUACGGGAGAAAGCAGGGGACCUUCGGGCCUUGCGCUAUCAGAUGAGCCUAGGUCGGAUUAGCUAGUUGGUGAGGUAAUGGCUCACCAAGGCGACGAUCCGUAACUGGUCUGAGAGGAUGAUCAGUCACACUGGAACUGAGACACGGUCCAGACUCCUACGGGAGGCAGCAGUGGGGAAUAUUGGACAAUGGGCGAAAGCCUGAUCCAGCCAUGCCGCGUGUGUGAAGAAGGUCUUCGGAUUGUAAAGCACUUUAAGUUGGGAGGAAGGGCUGUAGGCUAAUAUCCUGCGGUUUUGACGUUACCAACAGAAUAAGCACCGGCUAACUUCGUGCCAGCAGCCGCGGUAAUACGAAGGGUGCAAGCGUUAAUCGGAAUUACUGGGCGUAAAGCGCGCGUAGGUGGUUCGUUAAGUUGGAUGUGAAAGCCCCGGGCUCAACCUGGGAACUGCAUCCAAAACUGGCGAGCUAGAGUACAGUAGAGGGUAGUGGAAUUUCC
rnacentral:rRNA from 1 species